rnacentral:rRNA from 1 species
UGCGUAGGCGGAUUGGCAAGUCAGAAGUGAAAUCCAUGGGCUUAACCCAUGAACUGCUUUUGAAACUGUUAGUCUUGAGUGAAGUAGAGGUAGGCGGAAUUCCCGGUGUAGCGGUGAAAUGCGUAGAGAUGGGGAGGAACACCAGUGGCGAAGGCGGCCUGCUGGGCUUUAACUGACGCUGAGGCACGAAAGCGUGGGUAGCAAACA